CCUCUCCCCUCACCCAUCCCCUUUCCUGCUCUCCCAGCAGCGGGGCAGCCCUAGGGCAGCAGGCAGCGAUUCCAGCGAGGCGCGGUAUAAAUAGGAGAUGUGCUGUAGCCUUGUGGAUCGCAGGUGGCACAGAGCAUUUAUCUUCACACGCGCCAGGGUGGAUAUCUACAGCUUACGAGUGGGAAAGGUCAGAGAUGCUGAAACCUUCCUGGCUUCAGGAUCUACACUCACAAUCUGAAAGACUCAGAGGAAAACUGGAUCAUCUCUGUGCAACCACAAAUGGUACCAAGUGGACAGAGAUCACGAGCAACUAACCUUCCUGCCUUUAAAGCCAUGUACCACACCUAAUCUCCACACAGUUGAAAGCCACAAGACACAUUCCACAGACGAAGAAAGAUACGAGUUACGGGACCUCCAAAAGCAAUUCACAAGUUGGAGAUCACAAACUCUCUCCAGGAUCCCGCUGUUUUACUGCCCAACUGGGCUGAGCUGAGCUUGCAGCUGGGACGCCGAGUGAGUUGCUAAUAUUGGCCUCCCUGGUCCUCACAGUGAGGGACGGAAAUGAUUCAGCGGUGCCCUGUGCCAGCUCGGCCCUGCUGUGCAUCAUACAUCAUCCCUCCUCAGCCCUGCAUUGAACUUAAGAGUGCUCACACGCCUGAGUACAGCUAAAUACUAAAAUUUUUUGCUGUCACUGUUAGGAGACCUGUAGAUUAAAGGUCUGUGGGUCUAUACUGCUUGCUGUGCUGAAGGGUAGAUAAACCCGGACCAGCUUCAGGCAAGUAGAAAUAAGCCUCAUAGGGGUCUUUAACAGCGGAACUCAAUUAGCUGCCUAAUAGGAAUAUUUGAGGAUUUUUAUAAAAAACCCCAAAAUUUCACUGGAGGGCUGACUUUGUAAGAUAGGUGAGGAUACCAGGACUUCUAAUUUAAAUUUUAUUGAUCACCAAUACUAAAAUACUUAGAUUUUUGUUCACAUUUCAAAACCUGUGAAAAUCAUAAUUUUCAUUAAUUUAUUAUUAUUAUCAUUAUUUUCCCAAAAUGUGCAAUUCCUGCAUCAAAAAGAACUAACUGGGUACCAUGUUUGAGAUGCUAAAGCUGUAUGAAUUCUCUAGAAAUAUUCAGCAUUCACUUGCUCAGAAUGGCAAGUUUCAAUGAGAUUUUCCUUGCUUUAAUUGGUUUGAGCUAGCUCUUUGGCAUUGUCUUAUAAAUAAUAGAAGCUACACACUGCACUUUUAUAACAUCAUUCAUCUAAGGAUCUCAUAACUUAAUUAAGAGGGACACUGUCAGGUUAAAAAUCAUAUAUUUUUCAUUAAGUAAUUUCCUUAUCUAUGUUACUAAUAACAUUUUAGGCUAUUAAGCUGAAACAAAUUCUUAAAAUCUAAUUUAACAUCUACUACUAGCAUGUAUAUAUUAUAUAUAUACACACAGCUGGUUUACUCUCUGGGAUAUUAAAACAGAUGUCCUGGCUUUACUCUUGUUUCAAGUUGGUUUCAUUUACAGAUUUUCAUGUGUGAACAAUGUUCUUCCUUGGGACUGGUAUAAACACUCCACAAGAACAUUUAAAUGCAAACAAAAAGCUGUACUAACAUCUAAGAAAAUAAAACAUAUGUUUUUGUUAAUAUAAGACUUGCAAGGAUUCAACAAUAAAACUUUAAUUUUGGAGAA